rnacentral:misc_RNA from 1 species
AACGAGGCCGACCUGCGGCUGAGUUACCUGCGGAAGGAUCAUUAACCUUUCAAAUCAGGGUGCGGCGCGGCCCCCGAGGAGCGGAAACAAUCCUUGGGAGGUAUGCGGGGGCUUCGAGCCCCCCAUUUACGCUCGCACGACUGCCAUCCUUACUUUACGAGCACCUUCUGUUCUCCCUCGGCGGGGCAACCUGCCGUUGGAACCGAAUAAACUCUUUUUGCAUCUAGCAUUACCUGUUCC